rnacentral:rRNA from 1 species
AUGCGGAAUAACGGCAACCACCUGUGCUGCUUCUCUCUGCUGCUGCUGCUGCUUCUCGCCGGGUUGGCGUCCGGCCAUCAAGUCCUCUUUCAGGGGUUCAACUGGGAGUCGUGGAAGCAGAGCGGCGGGUGGUACAACAUGAUGAUGGGCAAGGUCGACGACGUCGCCGCCGCCGGAGUCACGCACGUCUGGCUGCCGCCUCCCUCGCACUCCGUCUCCACCCAAGGUUACAUGCCUGGUCGGCUGUACGACAUCGACGCAUCCAAGUACGGCAACGCGGCGGAGCUCAAGUCGCUCAUCGCCGCGCUCCACGGCAAGGGCGUGCAGGCGAUCGCCGACAUCGUCAUCAACCACCGCUGCGCCGACUACAAGGACAGCCGCGGCAUCUACUGCAUCUUCGAGGGCGGCACCUCCGACGGCCGCCUCGACUGGGGCCCCCACAUGAUCUGCCGCGACGACACCACCUACUCCGACGGCACAGCCAACCUCGACACCGGCGCUGACUUCGCCGCCGCGCCCGACAUCGACCAUCUCAACGACCGCGUCCAGCGGGAGCUCAAGGAGUGGCUCCUCUGGCUCAAGAGCGACCUCGGCUUCGACGCGUGGCGCCUCGACUUCGCCAGGGGCUACUCGCCGGAGAUGGCCAAGGUCUACAUCGAUGGCACGUCCCCGAGCCUCGCCGUGGCCGAGGUGUGGGACAACAUGGCCAGCGGCGGCGACGGCAAGCCUAACUACGACCAGGACGCGCACCGGCAGAAUCUGGUGAACUGGGUGGACAAGGUGGGCGGCGCGGCCUCGGCCGGCAUGGUGUUCGACUUCACGACCAAAGGGAUUCUGAACGCCGCGGUGGAGGGCGAGCUGUGGCGGCUGAUCGACCCACAGGGGAAGGCCCCCGGCGUGAUGGGGUGGUGGCCGGCCAAGGCCGUCACCUUCGUCGACAACCACGACACGGGCUCCACGCAGGCCAUGUGGCCAUUCCCCUCCGACAAGGUCAUGCAGGGCUACGCGUACAUCCUCACCCACCCCGGCAUCCCAUGCAUCUUCUACGACCAUUUCUUCACCUGGGGGUUCAAGGACGAGAUCGCGGCGCUGGUGGCGAUCAGGAAGCGCAACGGCAUCACGGCGACGAGUGCACUCAAGAUCCUCAUGCACGAAGGGGACGCCUACGUCGCCGAGAUCGACGGCAAGGUGGUGGUGAAGAUCGGGUCCAGGUACGACGUCGGGGCGGUGAUCCCGGCAGGGUUCGUGACCUCGGCACACGGCAACGACUACGCCGUCUGGGAGAAGCCCGGGGCCGCGGCGACACUGCAGCGGAGCUGA